rnacentral:ncRNA from 1 species
CCCGAUAAAGGCAAACCCGCCGCGAGGCGGGGACGCAAAGCCAGGGGUCUGGCCGAGCCAGACAGCCGGUUGCCGAAG